CCCUUAGAUGUUCUGGGAUGCACGCGCGUUACACUGAUUCGUUUAACGAGUUUAUGACCUUGCCUGAUGAGGUGGGGGAAUCUUUUCAAAUCGCAUCGUGAUGGGGAUAGAGUAUUGUAACUGUUAGUCUUCAACGAGGAAUUCCUAGUAAGUACGUGUCAUCAGCUCGUACUGAUUAUGUCCCUGCCCUUUGUACACACCGCCCGUCGCUCCUACCGAUUGAGUGCUCAGGUGAAUAGUAUGGACUGCAUCAGUGUUCGGUCUCCGAAUGUUGACGCGAGAAAUUCUGUGAAUCUUAUUGCUUAGAGGAAGGAGAAGUCGUAACA
rnacentral:rRNA from 1 species